GACGAACGCUGGCGGCGUGCUUAACACAUGCAAGUCGAACGCUGAAGCUUGGUGCUUGCACUGGGUGGAUGAGUGGCGAACGGGUGAGUAAUACGUGAGUAACCUGCCCUUGACUCUGGGAUAAGCCUGGGAAACUGGGUCUAAUACUGGAUAUGACAUGCCACUGCAUGGUGGUGUGUGGAAAGGGAUUUACUGGUUUUGGAUGGGCUCACGGCCUAUCAGCUUGUUGGUGGGGUAAUGGCCUACCAAGGCGACGACGGGUAGCCGGCCUGAGAGGGUGACCGGCCACACUGGGACUGAGACACGGCCCAGACUCCUACGGGAGGCAGCAGUGGGGAAUAUUGCACAAUGGGCGGAAGCCUGAUGCAGCGACGCCGCGUGAGGGAUGACGGCCUUCGGGUUGUAAACCUCUUUCAGCACGGAAGAAGCGAGAGUGACGGUACGUGCAGAAGAAGCGCCGGCUAACUACGUG
rnacentral:rRNA from 1 species